rnacentral:lncRNA from 1 species
AAAAUACUUCUAACUUUAUACCCGGCAAAAACCCAGCACGCAUGGCUCUCAGUCUCUUUGGAAACGGCCGACGAAGCAACGUUUUCGACCCCUUCUCUCUCGACAUCUGGGACCCGUUCGAGGGCUUCAGCACUCUGGCCAACAUCCCCUCCUCCGCCCGGGAAACAACCGCCAUCGCCAACACCCACAUCGACUGGAAGGAGACCCCGGAGGCCCACAUCUUCAAGGCGGACCUCCCGGGGAUCAAAAAGGAGGAGGUGAAAGUGGAGGUGGAGGACGGGAGGGUCCUCCAGAUCAGCGGCGAGAGGAGCCGGGAGCAGGAGGAUAAGAACGACAAGUGGCACAGGGUGGAGAGGAGCAGCGGCAAGUUCGUAAGGAGG